rnacentral:rRNA from 1 species
AUUGAACGCUGGCGGCAGGCCUAACACAUGCAAGUCGAACGAGUGGCGGACGGGUGAGUAAUAUCUGUGAAACUGCCUGAUGGAGGGGGAUAACUACUGGAAACGGUAGCUAAUCCCGCAUCCCAUCAGAUGUGCCCCGAUGGGAUUAGCUAGUUGGUGGGGUAACGGAGCACCAAGGCGACGAUCCCUAGCUGGUCUGAGAGGAUGACCAGCCACACUGUAACUGGGAAACGUUCCAGACUCCUACGUGAGGCAGCAGUGGGAAAUAUUGCACAAUGGGCGCGAGCCUGAUGCAGCCAUGCCGCGUGUAUGAAGAAGGCCUUCGGGUUGUAAAGUACUUUAAGCGGGGAGGCGUUACCCGCAGAAGAAGCACCGGCUAACUCCGUGCCAGCAGCCGCGGUAAUAC